UCUGGGAUCUCGUGACCUUUCCUAGAUCAACUACCAUUGUCUCCUGAGUGGUUCAAGACCAAGAAAUGCCCUCUUGUCACUGUCUCAUAGCCUGUAACGAGACACUUUCCAUUACCCGAGUCAUCUGCAGUCAGUCAGAAGUGGUGAAGCCUUCUGAGAACUCCAAAUGGAGAGAAAUGGUCUAAUUAAAACGAACUCACUUGGAGGAAGAAGGGCUCUGUGCCGGAAACUGGACUGUCGACACUCGGAGUAUUAGAAAAGAGCAUCUUAGAUCAUUUUCUGAGUCCAAGAAAGACAUGCUAAGGAUAAUUUCUUCUCUAAGUCACAUUUGUAAAACCCAAGUGUUCUCCUUUUUACUUUAAUGGUUCAGUGUUAUUAGCAAAAUGGUUACAAAGCAAUCUAGCGAAUCUUCUUAGGGUUUCUUCACUGCACGUUUUAUAUGAGGAGCCAAUCAGGAAAUGGGAUGUAAGUUGUCUUAACAGUAGAAUGUUUCAAUUUUAUGCAUUCUAAUGUUCAGCCUACGUGAGAAUUGAAAUGUUUCUCAUUUUUAUAAAUCACGUUUUAUUAUCUUUCACGUUGAUCUCAGUAAUUUUAUCUUUUUCUCCCUUACUCUUAAAAUAGAGUUCAAAUUGGUAAAGAACNUCGGUUCUUCUUAUANGGUGGAACAGAGAUUUAUUAUCAGGCAAAGGCCGAGUCUGCGUUGAACCUAAUGCUGCUGUCAUAAUCUGAAGUUUUUGAAGUAAUACGUUUUUUCUUUU
rnacentral:lncRNA from 1 species